rnacentral:rRNA from 1 species
UGGGGAUUAUUGCACAAUGGGCGCAAGCCUGAUGCAGCCAUGCCGCGUGUAUGAAGAAGGCCUUCGGGUUGUAAAGUACUUUCAGCGGGGAGGAAGGGAGUAAAGUUAAUACCUUUGCUCAUUGACGUUACCCGCAGAAGAAGCACCGGCUAACUCCGUGCCAGCAGCCGCGGUAAUACGGAGGGUGCAAGCGUUAAUCGGAAUUACUGGGCGUAAAGCGCACGCAGGCGGUUGAUUGAGUCAGAUGUGAAAUCCCCGGGCUUAACCCGGGAAUUGCAUCUGAGACUGGUCAGCUAGAGUCUUGUAGAGGGGGGUAGAAGUCCAUGUGUAGCGGUGAAAUGCGGAGAGAUGUGGAGGAAUACCGGUGGCGAAGGCGGCCCCCUGGACAAAGACUGACGCUCAGGUGCGAAAGCGUGGGGAGCAAACAGG